UAGAUAGAGCAACUGACAUAAAAGUUGAAGCCGGGCAAAUUUACUUCCGGAGCCCCAAAGUAGUGAGAAUCAAUAUGGCGUUGUAUUAGAAAAUAUGUGGUCCAAGUUAAUAUCUCGCAAUUAUUAGCAAAUCGCGAAGGUUGCAUCAACUUUUUUGCACUAUUAAUGAAAAAAAUCAAUGUGACCAUAGUUUUUCAACAAAAAGAUAGCAGAAUACGCCAAUACAUCGCCGUAAAAUUGAUUUCAAGUGUAGCUCGAUUUGAAAGCAUCAGCAGCGACGAAGGCUUAAGAUACUGAAAUUUCCACAUCUAAAUAUCAUAUCACAGCACAAUCUGCGAUAGUGUGGCUUAGUUCGUGUGGCAAAUACAACGAUAUCAUACUCGAUCUAUGGAUGUAUUGUGCUGAUUGAUGUACAACAAGCAUAACGAUGAGCGGAAAUCAGAUUCUGCAGAUUGUUGACUUGAACCAAGUGCUCCACAGCAAAUAGAACAGUUUCCAUUUCUACCUUCAAUGCUGCUUCGUAAAGUAAUCUUUUAUAGGCAGCUGUGAACUGUUGGGCUGUUGGGUUAUUGUUAAAUCCUCCUGCUGAUCGAAUUGCCCCAAAAAAAAGCUCUAAGUGAUCUUGGCUGAACUUGUAUGUAAGUAUGUAUUUCAUUUAUGCAUUUUUUCUUUCAACUAGGUCAGAGAAAAUUUGUUUGAUGUUUGUUAUUGCCACCAAGAGUCCCACAAAUCCUGUCUUUCGGCGAGUGUUGUACAGCAGAUUACCAGAUACAUCUCGCAGAUUUAUAAUGUAGUUAUAAGCUUCUGCUAAAAAUGCCUCCCAAGUUUCUUUGUUGCUUUUUCGAAGAGCAGCCUUAUAACCUUUGGCACACGGGUUUCGAGAGUUAAGAAUGUCGAACAGAUGAUCUAUGAUGCGAAUAAAGUAGACAGUGGCUUCUGAUCCUUGAAAUUGUGGAAGUUUAAGAGUGUUUGUGCAGUAUUCUAUUGCAUCAGAAACACUGGAACUUAGUGUUUGGGCAGCCAAAUUUACUUUCAAAAAUGUUGAAAACAGUAGCAUAACAUCACCAUAACAGUACAUUAAGCACUGUGAGCAGUGGCCAUAUAUACCACUGGUUUAGACUAUGACAAUACAUUGCUUAUAUACAUGUGUAAAACACAGUCAAUACUACAAGUCUGGUGACUCUUCUUGAUUUAAUAAGUAAAUAUUUUGCUCGUGUUAGACAGAGUGUUAUGUAUCAACCUGUGUUAUCAACAGUUUCACAAGUGACUUGCUAUAUUAUACUUCACAAAAAUUUGGUGUAACAGAGAUAAACUCUUCACAUUUUUUCUGUAAAUAAUUUCUGAACGUAUUAAUUACUCACAUCUUGACAUAGCAUAUUCGUUUGCCGACCAGAAACACAAGAAAAAUGUAUUUCUGGUACAAUAAUCCAGUGCAAUAUUCAAUUAUGUACAGUGAACAAUAUACUUUGUACAAAUCGUGAAAAAUCUUUCAAACUGUUAUCUUCAACUCGUUUUACUUAACAAUAAAUAUCGGAGGAUAA